CAGCCGCCGCGGUAAUGCGAAGGGGGCUAGCGUUGCUCGGAAUGACUGGGCGUAAAGGGCGCGUAGGCGGUUUGUCGAGUUAGAUGUGAAAUUCCCGGGCUUAACCUGGGGACUGCAUUUGAUACUGGCAGGCUUGAGUGUGGAAGAGGGUCGUGGAAUUCCCAGUGUCGAGGUGAAAUUCGUAGAUAUUGGGAAGAACAUCGGUGGCGAAGGCGGCGACCUGGUCCAUAACUGACGCUGAGGCGCGAAAGCGUGGGGAGCAAACAGGAUUAGAUACCCCAGUAGUCCCUGUCUCUUAUAC
rnacentral:rRNA from 1 species